AAAUUAUUACGAGUUUGAUCCUGGCUCCGGAAGAACGCAAGAGAUGUGCUUAACACAUGCUAAUUGAAUGGUAUUAAUAUAUCAUAGUGUAAUAGUGAGUAAUGUAUGAGAAUUUAUUUUUAGAAUAUAAUAAAAAUUUAAUAAUUUAUAAUAAACGCAAUAGUGUUUUAAAAGAUAAUUAUUGUCUAAAAAAAAGCUCAUAUCUAAUUAGCUAGUUGGUGAAGUAAUAGUUUUACCAAGGCGAAGAUUAGUAGCUGCCUUGAGAGGGGAAACAGCCACAUAGAGAUUGAAAUACAGCUCUAACUCCUAAGGGGGGCAGCAGUGGGGAAUUUUCUGCAAUAAGCGCAAGCUUGACAGAG
rnacentral:rRNA from 1 species